AGCGAACGCUGGCGGCAGGCCUAACACAUGCAAGUCGAACGAACUCUUCGGAGUUAGGUGCGGACGGGUGAGUAACACGUGGGAACUUGCCUUUAGGUUCGGAAUAACUCAGGGAAACUUGUGCUAAUACCGAAUGUGCCCUUCGGGGGAAAGAUUUAUCGCCUUUAGAGCGGCCCGCGUCUGAUUAGCUGGUUGGUGAGGUAAAGGCUCACCAAGGAGACGAUCAGGAGCUGGUCGGAGAGGAUGCUCAGCUAGAUUGGAGCUGAGACACGGCCCAAACUCGGACGGGACGCAGCAGUGGGGAACAUUGCGGGAUGGGGGAAAGUGUGACGACGCCACGCCGGGUGAAUGAUGCAGGUCUUAGGAUUGUAAAAUUCUUUCACCGGGGACGAUAAUGACGGUACCCGGAGAAGAAGCACCGGCUAACUUCGUG
rnacentral:rRNA from 1 species